CGGGGCGGGCGGCUUACCAUGCAGUCGAGCGGUAACAGAGAGUAGCUUGCUACUUUGCUGACGAGCGGCGGACGGGUGAGUAAUGCUUGGGAAUAUGCCUUAUGGUGGGGGACAACAGUUGGAAACGACUGCUAAUACCGCAUAACGUCUACGGACCAAAGGGGGGGAUCUUCGGACCUCUCGCCAUUUGAUUAGCCCAAGUGAGAUUAGCUAGUUGGUAAGGUAAAGGCUUACCAAGGCGACGAUCUCUAGCUGGUUUGAGAGGAUGAUCAGCCACACUGGGACUGAGACACGGCCCAGACUCCUACGGGAGGCAGCAGUGGGGAAUAUUGCACAAUGGGCGAAAGCCUGAUGCAGCCAUGCCGCGUGUGUGAAGAAGGCCUUCGGGUUGUAAAGCACUUUCAGUUGUGAGGAAAGGGGUGUAGUUAAUAGCUGCAUCCUGUGACGUUAGCAACAGAAGAAGCACCGGCUAACUUCGUGCCAGCAGCCGCGGUAAC
rnacentral:rRNA from 1 species